UACGGAGGAUGCAAGCGUUAUCCGGAAUUAUUGGGCGUAAAGAGCUCGUAGGCGGUUUGUCGCGUCUGCUGUGAAAACUCGGGGCUUAACCCCGGGCCUGCAGUGGGUACGGGCAGACUAGAGUGCGGUAGGGGAGACUGGAAUUCCUGGUGUAGCGGUGAAAUGCGCAGAUAUCAGGAGGAACACCGGUGGCGAAGGCGGGUCUCUGGGCCGUAACUGACGCUGAGGAGCGAAAGCGUGGGGAGCGAACAGG
rnacentral:rRNA from 1 species